rnacentral:rRNA from 1 species
CCUUAGUAGCUGCGAGCGAACAGGGAAAAGCCCAGCACUGAAUCCCGGGGGCCUCGCCUCCAGGGAAAUGUAGUGUUUGGGAGGGUUCAUACACCCGAUACCGCGUCACCGCGUCCAAGUCCAUCUUGAAAGAGGCCACGGUCCCGAGAGGGUGCCAGGCCCGUGGUAGGCCGGUGCAGGUGUUGGGUGAACCUCUCCUCAGAGUCAGGUUGCUUGAGAGUGCAGCCCUAAGCGGGUGGUAAACUCCAUCUAAGGCUAAAUACAACCACGAGACCGAUAGCGAACAAGUACCGUGAGGGAAAGUUGAAAAGAACUUUGAAGAGAGAGUUCAAGAGUACGUGAAACCGCUCAGGGGUAAACGGAAAAGACCCGAAAUUUCCGAAAAGGGAGAUUCACGUCUUCUCGCGGGUUCGACGCAUCCGCUCCUCUUCGACGGCCCUGCCCCCGCUCGGACUUGUCYGUUGCGUGGCGGUGGGGUCGCAGAGGGCUGUGUGGAGGCUCGCGGCGGACCGCACUUCUCCCUUAGUAGGACGUCGUGACCCGUUCGGUCAUGGUCAUACGGUUUCGAGGUGGAGCCUGUUUGAUCGUGCUUGCACGUUUUUCGAACAGACCCCCGCUACCUGGCCAUGAAUUUCCGGUCGGUAUCAAAUGACGGUGUUCGGCCACUCGCCGACAGGGGAAACUCUGUUCAGUGAGCGCGUCAGCGGCCCUUGACAAGGUGCUUGGAUGUAAGUCAAGGCGGGCUUCCGUCCGUCUGGCUGCUCUAAGCCCUGUUGGUCUUGGUGCUCUCUCGCUGGUCUAUUUACACCUGUCUACGGCGAAUCAGUUUUGGGCUCUUGUCCGACCCGUCUUGAAACACGGACCAAGGAGUUCAGCGUGUACGCGAGUCAUUGGGUGGUAAAACUCAAAGGCGUAAUGAAAGUGAAGGGAACUUUACGUUUCUGAGGGAGGAUGAGUCGGUUACCCGCAAGGGGCCUCUCCGCACUCCCGGGGCGUCUCUUUCUCAUUGCGAGUGGAGGCGCACCCAGAGCGCACACGCUGAUACCCGAAAGAUGGUGAACUAUGCCUGGCCAGGACGAAGCCAGGGGAAACCCUGGUGGAGGUCCGCAGCGAUUCUGACGUGCAAAUCGAUCGUCGGAGCUGGGUAUAGGGGCGAAAGACCAAUCGAACCAUCUAGUAGCUGGUUCCCUCCGAAGUUUCCCUCAGGAUAGCUUGCGCUCAUGUGAACGAGUCUCAUCCGGUAGAGCGAAUGAUUAGAGGCCUUGGGGUCGAAACGACCUCAACCUAUUCUCAAACUCCAAAUAGAUGAGAACUCCGGCUUUCUUGAACUUUGUUUUUGAAGCCGGGGGCUGCGCUGUGGGAUGAACCAAACGUCGAGUUAAGGCGCCCAAAUCGACGCUCAUGUGAAACCAUGAAAGGCGUUGGUUGCUUAAGACAGCAGGACGGUGGCCAUGGAAGUCGGAAUCCGCUAAGGAGUGUGUAACAACUCACCUGCCGAAGCAWCUAGCCCUGAAAAUGGAUGGCGCUGUAGCGUCSUGCCUAUACUCGACCGYCAACGGCAAAGGUGAUUGGCGGGCAACCGUCGAUYGUUAAGCCUUGACGAGUAGGAGGGCCGCGGCGGCGUGCGUA